rnacentral:lncRNA from 1 species
CUUGGGUGCCCCUGAGCACCAUCAUCCAUUGCUUUGGUCCAGGCUAAAGAAGUCACAAGAUACAGUGUGGCACUGGCUUGGCUGGAACCAGAUCGGCCCAAUGGGGUAAUCCUGGAAUAUGAAGUCAAGUAUUAUGAGAAGGAUCAGAAUGAGCGAAGCUAUCGUAUAGUUCGGACAGCUGCCAGGAACACAGAUAUCAAAGGCCUGAACCCUCUCACUUCCUAUGUUUUCCACGUGCGAGCCAGGACAGCAGCUGGCUAUGGAGACUUCAGUGAGCCCUUGGAGGUUACAACCAACACAGUGCCUUCCCGGAUCAUUGGAGAUGGGGCUAACUCCACAGUCCUUCUGGUCUCUGUC